rnacentral:rRNA from 1 species
CCACAAGCCUGACGGAGCAUAUACCGCGUGAGGGAAAAAGGCCUUCAGGGUUGUAAACCUCUUGUUAUCAAGGAGGAAAUUUUGACGUGUACUUGAUGAAUAAGCAUCGGCUAACUCCGUGCCAGCAGCCGCGGUAAGACGGAGGAUGCGAGUGUUAUCCGGAAUCAUUGGCCAUAAAGCGUCUGUAGGUGGUUUAAAAAGUCUAUAGUUAAAUAUUGAAGCUUAACUUCAAAGCUGCUUUAGAAACUUUUAGACUGGAGUGUGAUAGGGAUAAAGGGACUUCCAGUUACCCGGUUAAAAUCCGUAGAUAUGGGAAGGCCCACCGUGGCCAAACCGCACUUUGGCUGGCCACACCGGACACUGAGAGCGGAACUCUAGGGGACAA